GUCCACGCCCUAAACGAUGUCAACUAGGUGUUGGGAGCGCAAGUUCUUGGUACCGCAGCUAACGCGUGAAGUUGACCGCCUGGGGAGUACGGUCGCAAGAUUAAAACUCAAAGGAAUUGACGGGGACCCGCACAAGCGGUGGAUGAUGUGGAUUAAUUCGAUGCAACGCGAACAACCUUACCUACCCUUGACAUGUCCGGAAGGCUGCUGAAAGGCGGUUGUGCCCGCAAGGGGAACCGGAACACAGGUGCUGCAUGGCUGUCGU
rnacentral:rRNA from 1 species